AAAAUCUUUUCCCCUGAAAUACUCUACCCGUGUCUCCUGCAGGACAGCCCAACGUGAAACUAAGCCUUUAUGAUCUCUUGCUUUCUCGGCAAACAGCUGGAAGACGUCCUUCGCCCCUUGUUUCGUAGAAGAAAUGCUAUUCGAGCCGUUAGAUGCGACACCGGGAGAUCGUCUCACCUUCUUCUUCUCCGCUCCGCCGGGUUUCUUCAUCGCCGUGUUUUCUCUCUCACACAGACACACAGUUCAAUCUGUGCUUCCCAUUCGCACACACCCUCUCUCUAACGCUUCCCUUGAAACACAUUUGCCUGUUUCCCCAAUUUAUAUAUCUUUCCCUUCUCUGUUUUCCUUUGGAUUUUCA
rnacentral:misc_RNA from 1 species